GGGCUUAGGUUAAACAAACCAGGAGCCUUCAAAGCCCCAAACAGGGCCACACCCCCUAGU
rnacentral:tRNA from 1 species